rnacentral:rRNA from 1 species
GGCUCACCAAGGCGUCGACGGGUAGCCGGCCUGAGAGGGUGACCGGCCACACUGGGACUGAGACACGGCCCAGACUCCUACGGGAGGCAGCAGUGGGGAAUAUUGCACAAUGGGCGCAAGCCUGAUGCAGCAACGCCGCGUGCGGGAUGACGGCCUUCGGGUUGUAAACCGCUUUUAGUAGGGAAGAAGGGCUUCGGCUUGACGGUACCUGCAGAAAAAGGACCGGCUAACUACGUGCCAGCAGCCGCGGUAAUACGUAGGGUCCGAGCGUUGUCCGGAAUUAUUGGGCGUAAAGAGCUCGUAGGCGGUUUGUCGCGUCUGCUGUGAAAACUAGAGGCUCAACCUCUAGCCUGCAGUGGGUACGGGCAGACUUGAGUGGUGUAGGGGAGACUGGAAUUCCUGGUGUAGCGGUGGAAUGCGCAGAUAUCAGGAGGAACACCGAUGGCGAAGGCAGGUCUCUGGGCACUUACUGACGCUGAGGAGCGAAAGCGUGGGGAGCGAACAGGAUUAGAUACCCUGGUAGUCCACGCCGUAAACGUUGGGCGCUAGAUGUGGGGACCUUUCCACGGUUUCCGUGUCGUAGCUAACGCAUUAAGCGCCCCGCCUGGGG